CCUACGGGAGGCAGCAGUGGGGAAUAUUGCACAAUGGGCGAAAGCCUGAUGCAGCAACGCCGCGUGAGGGACGACGGCCUUCGGGUUGUAAACCUCUUUUAGCAGGGAAGAAGCGAGAGUGACGGUACCUGCAGAAAAAAGCACCGGCUAACUACGUGCCAGCAGCCGCGGUAAUACGUAGGGUGCAAGCGUUGUCCGGAAUUAUUGGGCGUAAAGAGCUCGUAGGCGGUUUGUCGCGUCUGCUGUGAAAUCCCGAGGCUCAACCUCGGGUCUGCAGUGGGUACGGGCAGACUAGAGUGCGGUAGGGGAGAUUGGAAUUCCUGGUGUAGCGGUGGAAUGCGCAGAUAUCAGGAGGAACACCGAUGGCGAAGGCAGAUCUCUGGGCCGUUACUGACGCUGAGAGCGAAAGGGUGGGAGCAAACAGGCUUAGAUACCCUGGUAGUCCACCCGUAAACGUUGGCGCUAGAUGUCGGGACCAUUCCACGGUUUCCGUGUCGUAGCUAACGCAUUAAGCGCCCGCGUGGGUGGUACGGCGCGACGACGUAAACGUUAAACGGUAAGUUAGUAACGGUCGUGUUAGACGUAGUUCGACGGACGACGACGAGGGAGGAGG
rnacentral:rRNA from 1 species